AACCUUUACAAUGCGCGAAAGCGCGAUAAGGGAACCCUGAGUGCCAGCACAUGGUGUUGGCUGUCCAGCUGUUUAAAAAGSAGCUGUUAAMGUKGCCGGG
rnacentral:rRNA from 1 species